rnacentral:rRNA from 1 species
AUACGGAGGGUGCAAGCGUUACUCGGGAUCACUGGGCGUAAAGGAUGCGUAGGCUGGAUGUCAAGUUGGAAGUGAAAUCCUAUGGCUUAGCCAUAGAACUGCUUCCAAAACUGGCAACCUAGAGUGAGGGAGAGGCAGAUGGAAUUAGUGGUGUAGGGGUAAAAUCCGUAGAUAUCACUAGGAAUACCGAUUGCGAAGGCGAUCUGCUAGAACUCUACUGACGCUAAGGCAUGAAAGCGUGGGGAGCAAACAGGAGUAGAAACCCCAGUAGUCC